GAAGGUGUUGUUCGACAACAACCACCGAUGAGUUUGGCUCCUGAAUCACGCCAUCUUGUUGCAAACGACUCAAAUUUGCCAUCACCAAGGCACUUCGAUGGCUGCCAAUCCAACCAGUAGCAUAUAAAUAAUAGGUACGCAUGCCUCUCUGUUUGCUUUUUAGUCUGUUCAUUUAUGUGCGUGUGAUAGAGAAAGAUGAUUAAUUAACAUGUCAUAGUAACUCAAGACUCACCAGCCAUUUCUUAGCUCGGCCAUCCCAUACCUCACCGCUAUUAGGAUAAACAACGAUAGCCUUUUUAGUCAGCUGAAACUCAAAAAAAAAAAAUUACAGUUUAAAACAACUUAAAUUUAGAUGCAGAUAAUACAUUGGUCAUUUAUCUCAUAAUGAUGUUUGUACAACGACUUACCUCCUUGAAAUAGCAGAUGAGAUUUUCAACGAACUGGGGAGGUGCACAGUUUAUGCCCACUGCAUUCACUUUGCCGCUCUUGUUUAUUAUAUCAAGGCAUUCCUUAAAGCUCUCUCCUG
rnacentral:lncRNA from 1 species